rnacentral:tRNA from 1 species
GGUGACGUGGCGCGAAAGGCUUAGGCGCCGCUCUGCAAAAGCGGUUCAUGCCGGUUCGAGUCCGGCCGUCACCUC